GUAGUCGUGGCCGAGUGGUUAAGGCGAUGGACUUGAAAUCCAUUGGGGUUUCUCCGCGCAGGUUCGAAUCCUGCCGACUACG
rnacentral:tRNA from 2 species